rnacentral:tRNA from 1 species
ACUAAUAUAGUUUAGUGGUAGAAUAUCUGCCUAGCAUGUGCAAGGCCCUGGGUUCAAUCCCCAGUACAUAUA